UACAGAGGGUGCAAGCGUUGUUCGGAAUUCUUGGGCGUAAAGCGCGUGUAGGCGGCUUUGCAAGUCGGGUGUGAAAGCCCUCAGCUUAACUGAGGAAGUGCGCCCGAAACUGCAGAGCUUGAAUACCGGAGAGGAUGGCGGAAUUCCCCAAGUAGAGGUGAAAUUCGUAGAUAUGGGGAGGAACACCGGUGGCGAAGGCGGCCAUCUGGACGGCUAUUGACGCUGAGACGCGAAAGCGUGGGGAGCAAACAGG
rnacentral:rRNA from 1 species